CUGCCCCACCCUGGGGGCCCCAGCAGCUCUGCCAGGACCUGUGGAACCCUGCAUCCUCAUGAGAGUCCAUCCAUCCUACUUCUCCUGCAGGAAGAUGCCAAACAGGCCUUUCAAAAUGCAUGCCGUGUGACAUAAUGCCAUGACUCUCUUCCAUGAGCAGACAGAGAAGGAAGUGGCCUAGGAUCACACGUGCUACUUUGUUCGCCUACUUCUGAAAAGACUUGAGAGUGUGGCAGUAAAUGGCACAGAUACAAGAAAACUCUUCACGUGAAGAUAAAAGGAUUAGAACCAAGCCGCAUGAGAGAAUCAAGGACAAAAAGAAGAAUCUUCCCAGGAAGACAGGCUAAGGGGGCUCUUGCAGUUAAGAACAAAAUUCAUCUCUGGGUUACAGGUGGCAAAGGCCAAAAAGGAGACCCUGUUUCCAACGCUCUCACUAUAUAAUUAAAGGACACAAACCACAGUAUCAGGGGAUACAAAUGUUUUCUCAGCUCACAGCUCUGGGAGGAAGUUAUCAAAUGGGCUACUGUUACCUGAGACACUGUACUUUAUGAACUCAUGCCUUCAGUCAUUUAUUGGACGCUUCCUGGGUGCUGGUCGUCAUGCAGAGAGCUGGAGUUAGGGGCAUAAACUGCGCUGGCACAGUCUCAGCACGUCUCGCAGGCAGUCACUUUCGUCUGUGUACUUACCUGUGCUGUGUGCUUCCUGCAGUGAUUUAUCAGUAGUGCAAAGAGGGAAGUACAGAUGGUUUGACAGUAACCAUGAGGCCUGAUCUAGUACAGGGCAGUGCUGGCCAUUCAGUUUUCUGUGGGGAUGGAAAUGCCUGUAUCUGGGCUGUCCAGUAACCUCUAGCCACUUAUAGCUCCGGACACUUGAAACGUGGCCAGUGCAGCUGAGGAACUGAAUGUUUCAUUUUAUUUACCUUUAAUUAAAUGUGAACUGCCACAUGUGGCUAACGGCUACUUAUUGGACAGUGCAGGUUGAGUGCAAGGUGUGGGCAUGGAAGUCAUCUCUUAGGGAGUGACUUUCAUUUUGGAGCCUGAAGGAUAAGCAGGAAUUAGCCAGCAAAACAUGUCAAGGGAGAGAAUUCCAGGCAGAAGGAACAGCUUAUAUGAAUCUCCUGUUGUGAAACAAAAAAGUAGUUUCUUCAGGAAACUUAAAGAGCUUCAUUGUGGCUGAGUGAGGGGAAAAGUGGUCCCCAAGAUGAGGCUGGAGGGGUGGGCAUAAUUUUUGGUUUUCCCAAGUUGCUUUCCUAGGCUGUGGGAGAAAAAACGGCAAACUGCUUCUCAGAUGCUAACAGGUAAGGACCAGUCAAUCUGAAACUCAGCCCUGAAAACCUUCCUGAAAUCUGCCCCGACCAGCAGGGAGCCAUAUCCAUUUCCAGUCCUGACCUGGAGCUGGUGGCCAAUCAACUUGGCCUCAGCCCAUGUGAACGGGUUUCCUGAGCCGAGCCAGCAGUCGAUGCUACUGUUUUCAGCUCUUCUCAGAGAUUGAUUAUGUAAGUACCCAGGGCAAGCAAACAUGCCUAGCCCCAUUGGCCCCAUCACGCUGCCCAUCAGGACCCAGAGCUGCCCCAACGUGGGCUGAUUCUAGCUGUGUAGUGAGGCCCCAAGAGGCCCCAACUUCAGGCUUCCGGCUAGUGCUCUUGGAGUAUGUUCAGUCAUGUUCGGAGUAUGGGGCCAAUUUAUUUUCAUAUCUGCAAUGAAGGAGAUUCAAGUAACUGAAGCAGACAACAGUAGCAUUAGGCGAGACGUGCCUGUCCUUCCAGCUUACACUGACUUGGACCUGACGCUUGUACAAAGGUACCAAUAACAGGCCACGCCCUGCCUUUUUGAUGAGCACUGUCUAAUAAUGCCAUGCCUGAUGAAACAGGGGGAGGGAAAGAAGACUUGGCUUCUUACUGGCAGAUGGGAGAAGCAAGAUCCCCUCUAAGGGAGGGAGAGACUGUCUGUGGAAGAAAACUUCCUCACCAAACCCGCCACAGUAGGAAUUCUAAACCGCUGGAGGUGCUGACAUUUCUGCAUAGUGUUUUUCUUUCUUUAACUAGCAGGAGUAGAUUUGUACCACAGUGAAGCAGACUGGCCAGAAUGGUCUCCAUUCUGGAUUAGCCUUUCAAACAGUUGCUUUUCUAGGACAGUCACUUACACUCAGAAAACAACAGAAAAUGCUGGCUACUCUGACCUCUCCACUUGCAGUGGUUCCUGGGAACUGUUAAGAGUGGGGAGGGGACAGGGUCUGUAACAAAUUGAAGGGGAAUGUCAGCUCUGGACACGUUACCUGUACGGUUGGGUUGAGGACGUGGAGCUCUGUCACAGUGACAUUAAGAAUUUUAGCCUUAUAAAGAAAUUAGGGACGACAGAUGACAUGGGUAUUUGGUGAACACAUUUUUCUGACUCUGUCAGUGGCAGCAGCUCUGGUGGAAGUGGCCUCAGGAGUAAAUGCCACUUGGAGCGCCCCGCGAUGGGCUAUCCAGUGAUCUUGGGCUGCUCACUAAACCUCUGAGCUCAGGAGUCCCUUUCACCUCAACCCCCUAGGUUCCUUGUAGCUCUGAAUUUUCUGAUUCUUUGGCAGAGACCGCCAAAGUUAGAAAAUGUCUUUUGAAUUACAAGCACACGGUAUCUAGUCUUGGACUUGUUUCUAUUGCUGCUAUUUGAGAAUUCAGUCAGACUCUGAAUACAUUACUAGAACAAACAAUUUAAAGAAAAAAUACUUAUUUUAGGGGAUCGUGAAUAAAAGAGAUCAUAAAGUGACUAAGCAUUCCCUAAUGUAUCAAGCAUUUUAUUUAUUUUUCUAGAGUGGUUCUGCUUAAGUGAGGUUCAUCUUUAACUCAAGGCUGCACUGCCUGUGGAUCCCUUUGGUCUCAGUAUUCAUGCCCUCGGUCCUGCCCUCAUUCGGCACGUGUGACCUCAGCUGUACAGUAUCUCACAAGGUACAACAUGGAGGAAAUGAACCUGCAGUAGGGAUCUGGAAGGAUCUUAGCACCUCAAAGAAAGGUGCUAUAGAAACACAGGCUGAUAGCACCUGUAUUGUCACCUUUUUUAAAAAUUAGGGGACAGAAAUCUUCAAAAGCAUCAUUCUUGAACCACUUUCUUUUCUUGCUAAUGAAAGUAAAUGCCAGGAUCAGUCUGUGGCAACACUGAGAAGGGAACGUUCCCUCCUCCCCACUUUGGUGCCAUUUCUACUCCUACCUAUCCCACUACCAUCCUUCUCCUUAAGUAUCUAGAGUCUUAAGACUGAGAAAAUUACCUCAUACCAAGCAUUUGCAGAUUGAUGUGAAUCUGCUUCUAUACAGCACUUCUCCAAGGGGUAUCUGUAUUCUAAGCUUCAAUUUUAAUUGUAGCGAAGGAAUUACAUGCUUCACGGUGCAAAUGGUGGUAAUUGGGAAAGAGGGGAGAUAAGGACCUCUUGCCAGCUAUGCAUGGCGUGUACAUAGGGCUCCCCCCAAGUCAAUACCUGUAGAUGACAGUAUGGACUUCCAGGUAAGAUUAAGGGACUUGGAACUCUUAAGAACUAUGCAAGUCAUUAAUAUACAGAUUUACACAUGUACACCUACACAGAACACACAUAUAUGUAUGUAAAUGAGCAGGAUGCUGAAUGGCUCAUUACUAUGUGGACCAUAAUGUACCAAUAGCGAAAUUCUGAACCUAAAAUUUAACCUCUAGACCUAGUAAUCAUUUGCUAUAGUAAUUAAAUUCUGUCCUGUAACCCGGUCUCACAAAGGGCUCCUAGUAAACAUUUGGAGAAUAGGUUCAGGUAUCAGCCAGGCAUGUAAAGGAGUCCCUGUGGUGGCAUAAAUUAUUUUAAGCAUUUUUGGGGAAGGGAGGACUAGGAGAAAAGGCCAUGUCAUUACAACACCAAAAGGAUCAAUUUGGUAGCACAAAAAACUCAGAUUGGUUCCAAAACAGCUGUUUGCCAGAUACAUUUCUUAAGAUUGAGUUCUUAGAUCUCCAAAACCUAGGCAAGUAACUUGAUCGUGUUAUCAAAAUUCUACCUUUACUCUCUCCUUUCCGAGGAAGAAGGCGGUGGCGUGCAGCACGUCCGCGGCGUGGGUGGAGUUGUGGUAAGCGUUGGAGGAGUGGUAGUUGGCUUCAAUCACUUGCAGCCAGGCCCGCAGAGUAGUUUCAGAACAGUGUAAAAACUCACAUACUCCGAACCGGGAAAAGAUCUUUAAUCCCAGGUAAACCAAUGGCCUGCAAACAAGAAAACAAACCCUGACUCACUGUAUUCACUGCUCCAGAAAUUGCUUUCUUUGUAGAUACUUUAUACUUACUGCACAAGCACAAGGGUAUAAAAAUGUGUCCUCUCCAAAUCAGGAGAUAGAGCAUCUCCCCUUCACCAGGCACUUCCUGAAAACCAGGUGCCUCAGGGUGGUUAAUCCAAAUGACCUCUAGACAGUCUCUAAGUUAUCUGCCUUUCAGUGGCUCUAACAACCAAGAAACAUCCCUGACAGUCGCUCUCCAUCUCCGCUUCCACAUAAGCUCUGCACUUCCUUUGUGUCCCCUGAGGAAGUUACUGAGCCCGAGGACAAAAGGGAUGGCUUGCGUGGGUUCAGCACAGUCAUGUCAUUUAGAGUCAAGUUAUUUAUAGGUGAGUAGCAUUCAUAUCCUACAGACCAACACCCCUGGAAGAAACAGACUUCUGCAACAGAAGGGGACUUUCUGAGUUAUCUAAUCUUUCCCUUACCUAUAGGAUGGAUCCAAAGAAAAGUCUUCAGUGCUGUCAGACUCAUUUUUUAAGGUGCUGAGAGUUUGGGGCUGAGAAUACCUGGAACCCUUGGCUCACUGGCACAAAGGAGUGACUUGGGUAGAUCUGGAAAGGACACUAUUAUUUCUUCGUCCUGGGUCAUCACCAGGCUGAUCCCACAUCUUACCCACUAAAACGCUUCUCCAUAAAGGUUCUCACUUAAGGGGCCAUAGUCCCUGCUCAUUUCUCCAGCAUGGAAUGAAAGGCAAAACCUCCGAGGUCUUUUGUGGCAAGGAUUCACAUCUCCCUCAAAGUUUUCGGACGUGAAAGUCUAGAGUGUGGCCAUCAAUCCUCCCAUGCCUGCAGACAGAGAAGCACAUACCUUUUAUGUGUCACAGAUUCCAGUUCAAAGAUGUUGAACUCCCAGCUUUCCUCAUUAUCAAGUAAUUGAGCAAUAGAAGGAGGGACGUCAUUGAUGGUUAUUGGCAUCGCAAGGUGACUGUGACUCUGGUGCACAUCUGGACAAACAGAUGAGGUAGGGAAGGGCGGUUAACUGUGGAAUUGUGAGUGCUGCUGAGCAUCUGCCAUCUUCAUGGUUGCCACUAGAAAGAAAGUCUUCAACCUCGAGGGGUAAAAAGAAUUUCACUUCAGGGUUCCCUUACAUUAUUGAACUUCAAGACCCCCAAAUAGAAAAAUAAUCCGGUUUAACUAAAUUUAAAUAUAUAGAGGUUUGCAAUUCCUAUUCUGACAGUGCUCAGAGAAGUAAUUUAAAUUAGGAGAGCUGGUUUCAAAUGUAGACCACAUAAACUCCAGUGAGACCAACAGGAAGUAUCACCAAGGCCCUCCUCAAAUAAUAAUCACAACACUGGGGGAGAGACAGACCAGAGACAGGUUACCAGUAACAGAUGGAGAGAAGACAACUUACUCUUAGUGAACACAUACUCAUUUCCUGACAACCUUCUUAAGCCAUCCUGGAAUAAAGAGAGAUGCUGUGAGAAGCAUGCUUUACUGGCCAUUAUCAUUACUCCCCCAUUUCUUUUAUUAGCCAGAGAGAACUGAAUCCUGAUUAACCCAGCCCAUCUGGAACUCCAAGUUGAAGCUCAGAAUCAAGUCAGAACAAUAGCUACAGAGCAGAGGAUACUCUCCCCUCCACGGCUUUUAGCCCCAGGAGACGGAGAAGUGAGAAUAAAGUGGCUGUGACUGCACUCAGGCCUCACACCUGAGCUGUGAAUUGGCUCUGUUCUCCUGCCAUCUUUCUCCUGUGGCAUUUUGAAGCCACAUUAAUGAGACCAAAGAAGUGAUCUUGCUUUGGAUGCUUGUUAAUUUGAAAGGACCCCACUUACCGUCGUAGGGACACUGUUAUUCUUGUGUUCUUAGAUUUAUAUCCUGGGGAGCCAAAGCCAUGGGCCACAUUUUGGGGAUGACUUAAUGUAAAGCCUUUAAAAGGUUAGGCUAAUUUUUUAUCUAAUAUCUAAAUUAACUUUUUUUCCAACUGUACUUUCUAUCUUGCAGCAUGAGCUUUGCUGCUAGCCUUUAAAAGAAUUUUCUGGAUUUGAGGUCUUUGGAAGGGCAGCAUAAGGGAGUGGACAGAAUUCUGGUGUUCUGCCAUUUACUAGGUUCUUGAACUUGAACUCGUCCCCAGAUGUUCUUGCAUCUCCGUUUCCUGUCCCCUACCCCUGAGUACCUAAUUAUUUAAUUCUUUGCCUAAGUCAUUUACAAUUGCUUAUUUGUCACCCCUAGAAAGCAUGUGCUAAGAUUUAAAGUAUUAGUGAAGGGCUCCCCUGAAGUGACACCUUGGAUCUUUAGGCCAAGAGCUGAAUUUUGAAAACUAGAUAAAUAGGUAAGUAACAAUGGCCGUUACGGUCCUACUUCUAAGGCAGGUAUCACAGGGAACUCCUCUGUUUUUAACCUGCCUUUAUUUCUCCUCUUGCCCAGUGCUACAUGACCUGGAGAGGAAGCCCAGGAGGGUGUGGCGCAGGGGGAGGGCGGGCAGGUACCUUGUUCUAGGAACCAGUCUUCCUGCCGCAGCUCCGCAGUGGCCAGCGCCUCCUGGCAGACCCUUGCCAGUGUUCUUUAGAACUGAGGUCUACACUGCACUGGGAUGGGGCAGCCAGGGCCAGCCCAGGGGCACUCAAGGAAGAGGAGGUCACUCAAGUUACGGGCUCAUCAGAGACCUUUAGUAGGAACACGGAGAACUGGCCAGAAAGCAAGUCAAUACUCAGCGUUUGGUGACAGGAGCAGACAGAAACCUUCAAAGUAAAACUCUUAGAUGACUUGGGCCUCAUUUUCUCCCAAAGAACUCUUCCGGCUUCAGCCUCCAAUAAGGAGCACAAAUGAAUAAUCUGAAUUUUCUUUUUCUUCACUUGCUGAUAGAUGAUUACAGCCAAACAGAUCACAUCAGAAACACUGGAACAGGAUGGCUCCUUAGAAUCGGCUACUUUGGGGGGUUACAUGUGGUGGUACUGGAGUGCUGGCAGGGGGUGGCUUCUCCUCCCCUCCCCGUACCAAGCCAGAACAGCUCCACUCUGCUUUUACUGAUUAUAAAGGGAACUCCAUAUAAAGCUUUUACUCAAAGAAAGAAUUCUACAGCUAAGAUUCUGCAAACUGGUGCUGUCCUCGAAGUACCAACCCUCCCAUUGUAUAAAGAGUCUGAGGUCGAAGGAAGCCUAGCCCUAACCCUCAGUGGAAUACUGUGCCAGGUCAAGGGGAACAAGUAAACAAGGGCCCACUGUGCAUUUUUAGCCUUCAGUCAACUAUCCGUUUAGUCUUUGCUGAAAUAAAAUUCCGAAGGACGAGUUCUGGGCACAAGUGAUCCGUCUGUGCUCCUGCAGCUGCUUCUGGUUAAGCUGAUGUUGGCCCAUUGAGCAGGUGUUUCCACACCCAUGGGUAACAGUGUAUGUGUUGUGUGUUAUAUGUAUUCUGGGGUGAACCUAAUGUCAUCUGCCCUGUAUUUCUAGUUUUCCCUCAUCACUCACAGUCAUCAGGCCUCCCACGAGGUCACUGGUGUGAGGGUCUUCAUCUUUGGUACCCAGCUGUGGGGAGUAUAGUUCUGUGGUCCGUAAAAUUUCUAAAACUCUGUCCAAGGCUUCUGCUACUGUGACAGGACUAUUUUCUUGGGCUGCAUUGAUUAUAUUUAUAACCUAAGGAUGUAAAGAGAGAGAAAGAAUACAUUUGAGGACAUUAGGAUUCUUCUUCCCAAAAGUCAUACGAGUGCCCAGACUCUAAAAGAAAUCAGGUGAUAACACAUCUUGUUGCUCACAAAGGACUAGUGCUUUCACAGCACCACUCCCUUCUUCCUGAAGCGUGCUUUUCACCCCACCUUCUCCCAGUGUUUCUCCUGCUUUGGGGACCAUAAUUUCUCAGGCUCCUUUGCCGACCCUUCUCCUCUAGCUCUCUUCUGCAGGUUGGCGUUCCUCAGAGAUCAGUGCCGGGCCUUCCUCUCACUCUACAGUCCUUUCAGAGAUGAGCUCUUUCAUUUCCAUGACUUUGGACAUACAUGAUCCAGAUGCCAAGGACUCUCAGAUCUACAUCCCAGCCCCGACCUCCUUUUUGACCUUCAGAUUUAUAUACUCAAUUGCUUGCCUGACAUAUCUAUUGGAAUAUCUUGCUUACAUGUCCAAAACUAAACUCAUAAUCUUGUUCCCCUCUUCCCAAAGCAAACAUAACCAAAAAAUGAAAGACAAGAGCUGUUCUACAUUGCAGUGAAAAAACCACUUCUAUUAAUCUUGUGCUCAAACCAAAAACAUAGGAGGCCCUGGGUGACAUACCACUUUUCCUGAAUUCUCUCCCUGCAUGACAAUGUAAUUCAUCAUCAAGACAAGUUGAAUUUACCCCCAAAAUAUUUACUGAUCUGUCCAUUUCUCUCCAACUCCACUACUAUAAUUCUAGUAGAGCUAACACCAUUUCUUGCUUGGAAUUCUGGAAAAGGUCCCUAACUAGCAUCUUCUCUUUCAUUUUUGCCAGCUCCAUCCCAUUCUCUGCAGGGCAGCUGGGUGUUCUUUUCAAUAAACACACUUGAUCAUGUCACUCCACUACUUUAAACUCUCCAGUGAUUUCCAUCACGCAUUAACUAAAACAUGAACUCUCUAUUACAGCCCAACUGGCCAGAAUGAACUGAGCCCUGCGUAACGGUGUCACCAUCUUCUCCCCUCUGCUCUCCCAGCUCCAGUCACACUUGACUCUCAGGUCCUCAGCUGCUCCAUCCCCCACUUGUCCCACCUCAGUUCUCAUCCCUUGCCGUGUCUGCUGCCUAGAGGCCUCUCCUCCCUCUUCUCCGUUUCAGGUCUUCUCCCUUCAGGUCUUACUUCAAACGUUACAUCCUCUACAGAGAGAUCCCUGACCACCCCUCUCACCAACCAAAACAGGGCCCUAACCUGAUUUUCUCUCAUAGGACCCUGCUGUUUUCCUUUAUAGCAGUUUUUGUUACUUAUAACUAUGUAUUAUGUGUUUAUUUAAUAUCUGUUUCCUUUACCAGACUGUAAACUCUAUGAUAUCAGUAGUCUGCCAGUCAUUACUUUAUCUCCAGAAUGGAGCCCAGUGCUCAGUGGCCCUGACUGCAGAGUAGAGGCCGCAGCUGCCACUCACCUUUGUGAUGGGAGCCUCGAUAGUCAUGGAAUGAAUCCUCGCCAUGGAUGGGUAGCGACGAUUCUGUAGACUUGGUGCUGCAGAGAAGUCAAGAAAAUUGUAUCUGGUUUUGGUGGCUCAGCUUGGCUUAAGUGCAGGAAUCCUUCAUGGACUGGGGGCCUGGUUCUCACAGGACUGCUGUUCUGCAGUCCCCCCACAAAGCAAUGAAUUCAACCAUCUCUUAAUCCGAAAAGGCUGAUAGCUCAUCCAGUACUUGCCAGGGUCUGGAAAGGGUGGUCUGGCCUGGAACUUUGAUGGCAGGAAGGCUUUAUGAGUCUCAAGUCCACAAGGGGAAUUUCAGAGAGGGUUCAUGAGAUCCUGAGGCCUCAUCCCAACAGCCUGAUGAUCCCCCAGGACUCACUUUCCUGUAAGUCGCUAAAGCCCAGCGUGGGCAGUUCUGUCACUUUCAGUCUCAGCCGCUGACCAUGUAACUGGAUGAGUACAGUGCAGAAGGGCAGGCGUGGGCCAUGACUAGGGCGGGGGUCAGCAGGAGAAUGAGCCCACGCUCAGUGGAAUUGGGGCCAGGCACUCCAUCCACUUUCCUGAGUAUUUAGGUUCUUAAUACCAAGCUCUCAUCUCUAAAAACUCAGCUAAUCCAGUUGAAAUUCCCUCAUCCAUUAUCCUUUCCAUCUGAGAUAUUCUAUCUAUCUACACCGUCAACCCAUCUGAAAAUAUUUCCAUUCACCUGUUCUUGACAUUCCUGGUCCCCAUCCCUUGCGUGCCAUGUGAUUUAUCCAUCUUCUCUAAAUUACGCAUCUUAUGUCUAAAGUCUUUGGUCCUUGCUAGUUCAGCCACUUGCCUCACACUCAGGUAUCCCAGUGUGACUUGAAGGACAGCACUGAGGAGUGACCUAGUUAUUGAAACUGAGCUGCUCUGGUGUUUACAUGGCCUAACACACUUCAGGCCAUAAAGAAACACGCAUGGAGUCAUUUCCAAGAGAAGAUAAAGACUGUAAAAAGUAAAAAAGAAUAAGAAGGCCUAAAAAUUUUUCUGCCUACAGGGAAAAAAAAGCCAGUUUAGUUGUGAUCCUGCUCCUGGGGCUUUUGUUCACAUGCUGAUGAAUUCUUGAAUAUAUUCCUCUGCCAUUUUCUACAUUUUAGAGUCAAGGAAGUCUGAAAAACUUCUUACCAUCACUGCCUCGAGAUGAUAUUGACUUCACAUCAAUGGACUCUUUCCUCCUGUUCUUGUAUCUGAAUGAAAGUGACUCUGAGGAAUUCAGAUUAGUAAUGGAGAGUGAUUAGUUUUCAGCGUAUUCACAGGUGAAGUUUAGACAUUUUUUCCCCUCAUUCUCCAAAGAAAACAGGGUUACUUUUAAAGCACUGUCAAAUAUUUUUAAUAAUAAACCACUUUCCCUUCAAAUCAUUGGCACACACACAGUUAUCGUCAUACUAGUUGUAAAGUGACGCCCUUUUCUCAUGGUGCCGUAUCACAUUGUAAUGGGGCUUAUUACUACAGGUUGUUUAGUUCCAUGAAUAAAUAUCUCCUUAAACACUGGAACUUGGGGGAAAUCUGGGGGGUGGGGUGGUCAUAAUAAACUGACCUGACGGAUAAUACAUUUAACUGGGUGGGGAAAUCUUUUAUGGAGAUAUUUGAAUAAGAGAAAUAAAAUAUUAGUCAAAUUUACAGAGAGUUGAAUUUAUUUGAGAAACUAAUUUGGACCAAUUUUAGGCCCCUCUGAAAAGUCAGACCCAUAGAUGGUCUUCAAGGUUCUUCUGAGAAUAUAAUUUCAUCAGAUGAUUCAGACUGUUGAUCCCAGGAAGGAAGAGAAGAAAAAUUGGUUUUAUAACCCCAUCAAUUUCACUUUCACUUUUGUACCUGUUUUCUGAGGGGAUAAAAAGCACUUUAAAAAAUCUAUGUUUAGUCUUUGCAGACUUUGAAUUUAAUGUCUCAAAAUGUGCUGUCACAUUGAUGCAAGAUCUAAUCAAAUGAUGGAUGCCACCCGUGAGGACCAGGGGAUAAAUAUGUCAGGACAGCAGGGGUGGCUUCAGAAACCUGCAGUCUCGGGGCAUUUUCUUCUUGUGGGACUAACCCAUAAGCAAGGAGAGAAACUUAACCACAACACAGAAUUUCUCCUCACUGUGGUAAGAGAGGAGGCAGGUGUGCAGGUUUCAGUAGGGAGAAUGCUUUUCUCAGACACCAAUAAAUGAUCAUAUCCAAGAAAGAACAAAAAGAUGCAAUGCUUUUUAAA